GACGAACGCUGGCGGCGCGCUUAACACAUGCAAGUCGGACGGUUUGCGCUGGAAGGUUCGCCGGAAGGCGCAGAUAGUGGCGGACGGGUGAGUAACGCGUGAGGACAUGUCUGCAGGAGGGGGAUAACGUUUGGAAACGGACGCUAAGACCCCGUAAGCCGGGAGGUAAAAGUGGCGAAAGCCAGCCUGUGGAGUGACUCGCGUCCUAUCAGCUAGUUGGCGGGGUGAAGGCCCACCAAGGCGAUGACGGGUAGCCGACCUGAGAGGGUGGCCGGCCACACUGGAACUGAGAUACGGUCCAGACUCCUACGGGAGGCAGCAGUGGGGAAUAUUGCGCAAUGGGGGAAACCCUGACGCAGCAACGCCGCGUGAGUGAUGAAGGCUUUCGAGUCGUAAAACUCUGUCUUCGGGGACGAUAAUGACGGUACCCGAGGAGGAAGCCCCGGCUAACUACGUGCCAGCAGCCGCGGUAAUACGUAGGGGGCAAGCGUUGUCCGGAAUCACUGGGCGUAAAGGGCGCGUAGGCGGUUUGUUAAGUCAGGUGUGAAAGUUUUCAGCUUAACUGGAAAAGUGCACUUGAAACUAACUUACUUGAGUACUGGAGAGGUAAGCGGAAUUCCUAGUGUAGCGGUGAAAUGCGUAGAUAUUAGGAAGAACACCGGUGGCGAAGGCGGCUUACUGGACAGAGACUGACGCUGAGGCGCGAAAGCGUGGGGAGCGGACAGGAUUAGAUACCCUGGUAGUCCACGCCGUAAACGAUGAGUAUUAGGUGUUGCCGAGAGGCAGUGCCGCAGUUAACACAAUAAAUACUCCGCCUGGGGAGUACGGUCGCAAGACUGAAACUCAAAGGAAUUGACGGGACCCCGCACAAGUAGCGGAGCAUGUGGUUUAAUUCGAAGCAACGCGAAGAACCUUACCAGGUCUUGACAUCCUCUGACGACGCUAGAGAUAGCGUUUUCCUUUCGGGGACAGAGAGACAGGUGGUGCAUGGUUGUCGUCAGCUCGUGUCGUGAGAUGUUGGGUUAAGUCCCGCAACGAGCGCAACCCUCGUCCAAUGUUGCCAGCGGGUUAUGCCGGGGACUCAUUGGAGACCGCCGGGGUCAACUCGGAGGAAGGUGGGGAUGACGUCAAGUCAUCAUGCCCCUUAUGUCCAGGGCUUCACGCAUGCUACAAUGGCCGGUACAAAGAGUUGCGAGCCUGUGAGGGUGAGCGAAUCUCAAAAAGCCGGUCUCAGUUCGGAUUGGGGUCUGCAACUCGACCCCAUGAAGUCGGAGUCGCUAGUAAUCGCAGAUCAGCAACGCUGCGGUGAAUACGUUCCCGGGGCUUGUACACACCGCCCGUCAAGUCAUGAAAGUCGGUAACACCCGAAGCCGGUGGCCUAACCCGUUUGGGGGGGAGCUGUCGMAGGUGGGAGUGGUAAUUAGGACUAAG
rnacentral:rRNA from 1 species